rnacentral:lncRNA from 1 species
GAAAGUGUUUGUGGGGUAUUCCUUGAAACUUGUUUCUCUCUCUCUCCUCCUCUCUCUCUCUCUCUCUCUCUCUCUCUCUAAGUGUUUGUUGUGAGUAUUCAUUGUAACAUGUUUGUGCGUACUCGUUGCAACCUUUCUCUCUCUUGUUGGCUUCUUUUACAUUUAUGUUUCAAUGCUCUUUCUCUCUCUCUCUCUCUCUCUCUCUCUAAGUUUCUAAAGCGAUGAGCAGGGGAGAUGAGCUUGAAAGUAGAGUUGGUUGUUGACAGAAGAUAGAGAGCACAAAACCAACACAAGCAAUAGGCUUUCAUGCUUCUGGAGGAUAUGUGCUCUCUAUACUUCUGCCACCAUGCCCUUAGAAGCACUCUAUUUCUAUUCCCUCUCUUCCCUUCCCUCUCUCUCUCUCUCUUCCUUCCUUACUUCUCUCUCUCUCUCUCACACUACAUGUUCUCCUCAAUUAGGCUCUCCUCUUACUUUUAUUGUAGUGUUUUUUCUUUAGUUUUUGUUAAUUUUUUGUUUAAUUUGCAGGUCAUAGCUUGAAGAUCUGAAGCCAAUCUCACUCUCUCUCUCUCUCUAAUAGCACAUAAAAUCUUUCAAAUAAAUAAUACUCGUAUUUACAUUAAAAAAAAGCCGUAUUAGAAGGUGGUGAGAAUUUGGCAUGUGUAUUGUGCCAUGCACGUACGCCCUUCGAAGGUUUCUGUUUGUUUUUGUAAUAUAUGUUUAUAUAAAUUCUUUUAUUUUGAUUCGAACCUUUGAAUGCUUUGUAUGGAAGUGGUUGUCUUUACGGACGAGUCGACUCGUCGCUCUUGAUUGAACAAAUCCCCAACUUGGGGGAACAAUAAUCUCUUAUAGAUUCAUAAUGUUAUAUUUGUUAUAAUUUAUGAUAUUUUAGAAAGAGAUUAUCUUUUUUUAUAAUUGAUAUAAUCUUUCAUAUCAUCGACUACAAUUGUUUAUAAUUAAUUUUGUAUAUCAUUUUUAUGCUUUCAUGAUUCUAAUGUAUUAGUUUUCCAUAUACUUUUAUGUCUUCUACCUUUCUUUCAUUUCCUGAUUUUUAACAAAAUUUCAGUUUGUUCCCUUUUUUUUGUAAUUUUUUUGCUCUUCGAGUGUCUCGUAGAGUUCGACUCCGACUCGGUCAAUCACUUGUACUAACCAGGGCCCGAGUUCCACGUCUAGCCCGUGUUUUCGAACAGCAAAACAAAUAAGAAAUGCAAGAGAGCUCUAAAGAGAGAGGAAAGUAACUGCAAUGAGAUGAAUUAAGGUUAUUGUUACAUCUAAAGUAGCCGGAAGUUUAAUCAGAAGUUUGUGGUGGAAGGAGACAAGAACUCGGCUGCUGAUUUGUUGGAAAAUCAAGAAGUUUUUGCUGAGAAAUUGAUAAUCAUUUGAGGAAUGGUAAUUGUUGUCUUGCAUUAAUAAUGUUUGAUAAUAGUUGGUGUAGGAUCACUGAUGUAGGUUGGACGAAAGUUGCAUCCUCCAUAACCUUGCUUUAUAACGCUCAUCUGUACUAUUCUUUAUGGGAAAAAGUUUAUACAAACCGCACCCUUCUUUAUGCAGGAAUAAAAGGUAAACUUCUCUUAGAGAGAGAGUGAGUGAGAGAGAGAGAGUAAUUUUUUCUUGAUUUUUAUGUGAUGACAUUUAACUGUCUUAGUACAAAUAGCUCAUUAUUAGUUUUGAAGUCUUAAACGAUCGUUUCCAUAAGUUGGUAUAUGUUUCUUUCAAGGAAAAAGAUUUAUCGACUUAUAAUAUAGAAAUCAGGAGCACCACAAAAAUCUAAUCGAAAGAGUUGUUGGGCCGUUGGAAAACCAUAAAAUUAAUCACCUAAACGAAGCGAUAAAAAUAAAUAAAUAAAGGAUUUCAAGUGUUAAGAAUAGCCGCAUAUUGUAACACAUUCUCCAGAGUGUCCAUUUUCAAAACUUCGAGUUUUUAUAGAUCUUCCGGUUCUACGUCAUUUUUGAAGCUUUAAAUUUCAUAAUUAAAAUUUAUAACUACAUGUAGCAAGAUUUGAAUGUGGGACUCAUUUUUAUUGUUUAAGGUUUACACCUUAUACAGACCGCACUUUCUUCUAAAAGUAUGUUUUCUAUUCAUAUAAUCUUUAAUAAAUCCUCAUAUGCUCAAUUUAAAUGGUUGUAAUGGGCCGACCCGUUCGGCAUUGAACCGGGAGAAGCCAUUCCAACCAGUAGGUCAGCCAGUCCACGAGUUCAAUGCCAGUUUCUCCUUUAGCAUAUGGUCUAGUGUAGUAGACCGGACUAGUAAAGUACCCAAUUCACCAGUUUCCAGCUUGAACGGCUGGUUU